GUGCUUGCUUCAGCGGCACAUAUACAAAAUUGGAACCGUAGAGAGAUUAGCAUGGCCCCUGAGCAAGGUGACACACAAAUCUGUGAGGUGUUCCAUAUUUAA
ensembl:snRNA U6 U6 spliceosomal RNA